rnacentral:lncRNA from 1 species
AAUCAAAUUUGAUUUGUUAUGGAUAUUCAAUAUUCAUAUCAAAGCGAUACAGGAAUACUGAAUUACCAAUGUCCAACACUAGUCUUGUUUUGUAUUUAAACCACUAAGUAAAAAACAAGAAUAAACAAAAUUAAAAAUGUUGAUUAGUCAUUAGUAGUUAAUUCUAUUUACAUUUUAAUAGCUUUACUUUUAUAACUAAAAAAUGUUGAAAUUGAAUCCGCAGAGUUAGUAUUGUUUUAAUUGUUACAUAUUAUUCAAAAUAAAUCAUUUUUCCUUAAACAUCAUUGUUUUACAUUAAUAUAGAACAAUACAUAAAUACCAGUUGUCUAUGAUUUUAGUGUGAUUCGACUGAUACAGCAAUACCUAAAGGAAUCAAAUCUAAUGAAAUUUCUACAAACCCCUCAAGUAGUGUUGUAUUGUUUUAUACAAUUUUAGUAAUGGAUACAGGUACAUUGUUGUACGAUAACUUAUUUUUUAAGUAAAAGAUCAAUUUCAAAUAAGUAAAUUAUAAUGUUUUCAGAAAGAAACUAGUGUAUCAUUAAAUACAGUAGACAGUAUUGAUGAUUUUAUUGCAAAUAUAUAUAACGACUAUUGGAAUACAGUGUUAAAGACAGUACAGUCUCUGAAAUUACCAGAUAGUAAAUUAAUUAAUUUAUAUGAACAAGUUAGUUACUAAAUAUUUAUAAGGUAUGAUUAAAAUGGUUCAUUUCAAUUAAUUUGUAGGUUGUAUUUGAACUAAUAGAAUUGCGUGAACUUUGAGCUGCUUGGUUACUUUUACGUCAAACUUACACUAUGAUUACUUUUAAACAACAUGAACAAGAUCGUUACAUAUACCUUGGUACAAUUAUAUUACAUUAAUAAUAAAUAUAGGUAUAUUAUUUGUUUAAAAAAAAUUUGUUUAUAGAAAACCUACUAGCUUAUUUUGACCCUCAUAAGCAUAUCCAGUAUGCACUUCUAAAGAAAAAUGUAGACUUGCUAUUGCUCUAUAGCUGGUGAAGUAUUUCUAGUACCAUCAUCAAGACCUCUAGCACUUCUAAAUCAAACAUAAAAUGGCAACAGCAUCAAGGACUUGACUCCAGAUAUUUCAAGAAUUAUUGUUAGGUAAAUCAUGUUAUCCCUUUAAAAUUCUAAAAUAGUAAUAGUUUAUGUUCUCAUGUACAUAUAUGUAUUUAAAGGAAAAGCAGCAGUUCAGGAUUUAGAAGAAGAAACAUUAGCGGAUGAAGCUGUUAACAAUGUAUAUCUUUUCUUUAAAAACCAAAACAAUUUUGUUGUUUAUAAUUGUUCAAACACUAUUGUAACAAUGAAUAUGCAAGGCCAAGUGAAUUAACUAUAUUCAAAAUGUAUUAAAAUAUAAGGACUAUUGAUAAAAAUAUUUUCUAAAGAUUGUUAGGCCAUUUACAAAUGGUAAACGUGAAGGUUGCUAUUUUGUAUGUUUCACUGUCACCUAGAGGCGAUUGGAUUUAUGCAGUUGCUGAGGAUUAUAUAUUAUAUUGUUUUUCAUUAAGCACUGGUAAAUUAGAGAAGAUGGUAUGGUAAGAUUAUGGAAACCUUGAAUCGUUUGUAUUAAAAUUAUUGUAAUUUUUUUUUUCAUUUGACAAGUUUUAAACAAUUUAAUUCAAUAAAAUAUUUUUAUGAUGUAAAAUGAGUGUGGUUUAUUUUUGCGUGUUA